rnacentral:rRNA from 1 species
ACAAGCGGUGGAGCAUGUGGUUAAUUCGAUGCAACGCGAAGAACCUUACCUGGGCUUGACAUCCCCUGACAACCCGAGAGAUCGGGCCGUUCCCCGUUCGGGGGACGAGGGUGACAGGUGGUGCAUGGUUGUCGUCAGCUCGUGUCGUGAGAUGUUGGGUUAAGUCCCGCAACGAGCGCAACCCCUGUCCUGUGUUGCUACUCCGCAAGGAGAGGACUCUCAGGAGACUGCCGUGGAUAACACGGAGGAAGGUGGGAUGACGUCAAAUCAUCAUGGCCUUUAUGUCCAGGGCUACACACGUGAUACAAUGGUACAGACAGAGGGCUGCAAGACCGUAAGGUGGAGCCAAUCCCUAAACUGUAUCCCAGUUCAGAUCGAGGGCUGCAAUUCGCCCUCGUGAAGUUGGAAUCGCUAGUAAUCGCAGAUCAGCAGGCUGCGGUGAAUACGUUCCCGGGCCUU